rnacentral:rRNA from 1 species
GGCGCACGGGUGCGUAACGCGUAUGCAACCUACCUCUUACUGGGGAAUAGCCCGGAGAAAUUCGGAUUAAUGCCCCAUAUGCUCGUACGGCCUCAUGGUCGAGCGAGGAAAGCUCCGGCGGUAAGAGAUGGGCAUGCGUCCUAUUAGCUAGUUGGUGAGGUAACGGCUCACCAAGGCGACGAUAGGUAGGGGGCCUGAGAGGGUGACCCCCCACACUGGUACUGAGACACGGACCAGACUCCUACGGGAGGCAGCAGUGAGGAAUAUUGGGCAAUGGAGGAAACUCUGACCCAGCCAUGCCGCGUGCAGGAAGACGGCCCUAUGGGUUGUAAACUGCUUUUGUACGAGAAUAAACCUUUCCACGUGUGGAAAGCUGAAGGUACCGUACGAAUAAGGAUCGGCUAACUCCGUGCCAGCAGCCGCGGUAAUACGGAGGAUCCAAGCGUUAUCCGGAUUUAUUGGGUUUAAAGGGUCCGUAGGCGGGUUUUUAAGUCAGUGGUGAAAGCCUACAGCUCAACUGUAGAAUUGCCAUUGAUACUGGAGACCUUGAGUGUAGUAGAAGUAGGCGGAAUAAGGCAUGUAGCGGUGAAAUGCAUAGAUAUGCCUUAGAACACCGAUUGCGAAGGCAGCUUACUAUGUUACAACUGACGCUGAGGGACGAAAGCGUGGGGAGCGAACAGGAUUAGAUACCCUGGUAGUCCACGCCGU